rnacentral:rRNA from 1 species
GCCAUCUGCUGUUCAGAUUAGAUAAUCCCUUGAAGCUGAGCUGGUUUUGGCCUGGCCAGUAUAUGGUUGGGAGACCGAAUAUGAAAGCUGGGUUGCUGCUGGAA